rnacentral:piRNA from 1 species
UGUAUCCUGAGGGGCCUUAAGAGCUG